AAUGAAUAUAGAACACUAUUGAAGGGAAGAGAGUCUCUUUUAAGCUGUCUUAUUGUCAUUCGAUUCUUGUUGCUAAUGAUGAUGGGACUGGUGGUUUGAGAGAAUUACUGCAACAAAUUCUAUUACUUCUUCUCUUUGGAUUUCACUUCAGAAAAUUUCCAAAAAUUGCCUCUAGCCCUACUUCUUGCAGUUGCAGAGACGGGAAAGUUUCUUUCAUGGUGCUUUGAUUUGAAAAAAGGUUCUAUUUCCUAGCUUUAAUGUGAA